GACGUAGGGCGCGAGCGUUGUCCGGAUUUAUUGGGCGUAAAGAGCUCGUAGGCGGCUUGUCGCGUCGACUGUGAAAUCCCGCGGCUCAACUGCGGGUCUGCAGUCGAUACGGGCAGGCUAGAGUUCGGUAGGGGAGACUGGAAUUCCUGGUGUAGCGGUGAAAUGCGCAGAUAUCAGGAGGAACACCGAUGGGCGAAGGCAGGUCUCUGGGCCGAUACUGACGCUGAGGAGCGAAAGCGUGGGGAGCGAACAGG
rnacentral:rRNA from 1 species